rnacentral:rRNA from 1 species
UCCAGACUCCUACGGGAGGCAGCAGUGGGGAAUAUUGGACAAUGGGGGGAACCCUGAUCCAGCGACGCCGCGUGAGUGAAGAAGUAUUUCGGUAUGUAAAGCUCUAUCAGCAGGGAAGAAAGAAAUGACGGUACCUGACUAAGAAGCCCCGGCUAACUACGUGCCAGCAGCCGCGGUAAUACGUAGGGGGCAAGCGUUAUCCGGAUUUACUGGGUGUAAAGGGAGCGUAGACGGCGAUGCAAGUCUGAAGUGAAAGGCGGGGGCCCAACCCCCGGACUGCUUUGGAGACUGUAUAGCUGGAGUGCAGGAGAGGUAAGUGGAAUUCCUAGUGUAGCGGUGAAAUGCGUAGAUAUCAGGAGGAACACCGGCGGCGAAGGCGGCCUGCUGGACCGUGACUGACGUUGAGGCUCGAGAGCGUGGGGAGCAAACAGGAUUAGAUACCCGAGUA